rnacentral:tRNA from 1 species
GCCCGGAUGGUGGAAUGCAGACACGGUGAGCUUAAACCUCACUGGCCUAGAAGGCCGUGCCGGUUCGAGUCCGGCUCCGGGCA